GCCGGGCGCGGUGGCGCGCGCCUGUAGUCCCAGCUACUCGGGAGGCUGAGGCAGGAGGAUCGCUUGAGCCCAGGAGUUCUGGGCUGUAGUGCGCUAUGCCUAUCGGGUGUCCGCACUAAGUUCGGCAUCAAUAUGGUGACCUCCCGGGAGUGGGGGGACCACCAGGUUGCCUAAGGAGGGGUGAACCGGCCCAGGUCGGAAACGGAGCAGGUCAAAAAUUCUCAUUGUACUUUAGCCUUAAAGAUUCCAAAGAGGCUGGCCUAUAGAAAUGUUUAUCUUUGUUAACUUUUUUUUU
rfam:Mustela putorius furo unplaced genomic scaffold scaffold00049, whole genome shotgun sequence.